GCACUGCUGAGGAGUCUCACAAUAAGACGAAAUGGUCAUCCUGUGC
rfam:Schistosoma mansoni strain Puerto Rico chromosome W, complete genome